UACGGAGGGAGCUAGCGUUAUUCGGAAUUACUGGGCGUAAAGCGCGCGUAGGCGGCUUUGUAAGUUAGAGGUGAAAGCCCGGAGCUCAACCCCGGAAUUGCCUUUAAGACUGCAUCGCUUGAAUCCGGGAGAGGUGAGUGGAAUUCCGAGUGUAGAGGUGAAAUUCGUAGAUAUCGGGAGGAACACCGGUGGCGAAGGCGGCGACCUGGGUCGAUACUGACGCUGAGGUGCGAAAGCGUGGGGAGCAAACAGG
rnacentral:rRNA from 1 species